AAGGUAAUUAUAAACGGACAAAUAAGACCCCAGACGGAUUAAAAUCAAGAAUAAAUCAAUUAAUAAAACAUUACCACGACUCACGGGAAAAGUAAUUAUAAAAGCAAACGGGCAACAAAUAGAACCCCAGACGGAUUAAAAUCAAGAAUAAAUCAAUUAAUAAAACAAUACCACGGCUAUCAUUUAUUAUUUAUAAAUAUAUAGAUCAUACGUUUGCAAUAGUGUAGGAUGAAGUAAAUGUUAAGUAUAAACAAUGAUGAAGAUAGAAUGAAAUGAAAGAAAUGAAAUCAACCCGAAUAAGAUCCGCAGAUUGCAGGACGCAUCAUGUUACUGCCUAUCGCGCCGCAGGAAACAAACUACGCAGAACAACGAAACAAAGAAACCGCCACAGAACGAAAGGCCGAAUAAAUAAACGAAUGAAACAUUCAACCUAAACAGAAUCGAAAUCAAAUAUAACCAUCUCACAACGUCAGAUAACGCAUAUAGUCAGGAAAGUCACGCAGGACCAAUCAUGUAACACCCAGUCAGUUAAUAAAUAAAUGUAACCAAAGUAGAAUCAAAGCAACCAAGGCAGCAGGUAACUAGCAGAAAGGAGAUAUAAAAGAAAAGAAGAGAAAAGAAACAAACAAGGAACAGCACACCGUCAUCAAAGAGCUAUACUAUUAUCGAAGAGAAACAGCUUGAAUAAAUUGAAUUAAAGAAUACCAGAGAAGAAUAUCAAAAUGUCAAAAUGUCCAAGGAAUGUCCAAGGAUAGAGGUGACAAGAAAUAAAAUAAAAUAAAUGAUGGUAGACAGUGAUACGUGGCACAAAUAAAUUAAAA